CCUUCGAUAGCUUAGUUGGUAGAGCGGCGGACUGUAGAUCCUUAGGUCGCUGGUUCAAAUCCGGCUCGAAGGA